rnacentral:rRNA from 1 species
AAUAGAUACCCAGGUAGUCCUAGCCGUAAACGAUACUCGCUAGGUGUCGGCCACGGUGCGACCGUUGUCGGUGCCGUAGGGAAGCCGUGAAGCGAGCCACCUGGGAAGUACGGCCGCAAGGCUGAAACUUAAAGGAAUUGGCGGGGGAGCACCACAACGGGUGGAGCUUGCGGUUUAAUUGGAUUCAACGCCGGAAAUCUUACCGGGACCGACAGCAAUAUGAAGGCCAGGCUGAAGACUUUGCCGGAUUAGCUGAGAGGUGGUGCAUGGCCGUCGUCAGUUCGUACUGUGAAGCAUCCUGUUAAGUCAGGCAACGAGCGAGACCCACGCCCACAGUUGCCAGCGUACUCUCUGGAGUGACGGGUACACUGUGGGGACCGCCGCUGCUAAAGCGGAGGAAGGAAUGGGCAACGGUAGGUCAGUAUGCCCCGAAUAUCCCGGGGCUACACGCGAGCUACAAUGGUUGGUACAAUGGGUAUCUACCCGAAAGGGGACGGGAAUCUCUAAACCAAUCUUAGUUCGGAUUGAGGGCUGCAACUCGCCUCA